rnacentral:rRNA from 1 species
UGGCGAGCGGGUGAGUAACACGUGGGUGAUCUGCCCUGCACUCCGGGAUAAGCUUGGGAAACUGGGUCUAAUACCGGAUAGGAGCCAUCUUUAGUGUGGUGGUUGGAAAGUUUUUUCGGUGUAGGAUGAGCUCGCGGCCUAUCAGCUUGUUGGUGGGGUAAUGGCCUACCAAGGCGGCGACGGGUAGCCGGCCUGAGAGGGUGUACGGCCACAUUGGGACUGAGGUACGGCCCAG